rnacentral:rRNA from 1 species
AUGACCCCUUCGGGGUGAUUCUGGUGGAAUGAGCGGCGGACGGGUGAGUAACACGUGGGCAACCUGCCUGUAAGACUGGGAUAACUUCGGGAAACCGGAGCUAAUACCGGAUAGUAUUUCCUUUCUCCUGAUUGGAAAUGGAAAGACGGUUUCGGCUGUCACUUACAGAUGGGCCCGCGGUGCAUUAGCUAGUUGGUGGGGUAAUGGCCCACCAAGGCGACGAUGCAUAGCCGACCUGAGAGGGUGAUCGGCCACACUGGGACUGAGACACGGCCCAGACUCCUACGGGAGGCAGCAGUAGGGAAUCUUCCGCAAUGGACGAAAGUCUGACGGAGCAACGCCGCGUGAGCGAUGAAGGCCUUCGGGUCGUAAAGCUCUGUUGUUAGGGAAGAACAAGUACGAGAGUAACUGCUCGUACCUUGACGGUACCUAACCAGAAAGCCCCGGCUAACUACGUGCCAGCAGCCGCGGUAAUACGUAGGGGGCAAGCGUUGUCCGGAAUUAUUGGGCGUAAAGGGCUCGUAGGCGGUUUCUUAAGUCUGAUGUGAAAGCCCACAGCUCAACUGUGGAGGGUCAUUGGAAACUGGGGAACUUGAGUGCAGAAGAGGAGAGUGGAAUUCCACGUGUAGCGGUGAAAUGCGUAGAUAUGUGGAGGAACACCAGUGGCGAAGGCGACUCUCUGGUCUGUAACUGACGCUGAGGAGCG